GACGAACGCUGGCGGCGUGCUUAACACAUGCAAGUCGAACGGAAAGGCCCUGCUUUUGUGGGGUGCUCGAGUGGCGAACGGGGGAGUAACACGUGAGUAACCUGCCCUUGACUUUGGGAUAACUUCAGGAAACUGGGGCUAAUACCGGAUAGGAGCUGCUGCUGCAGGGUGGGGGUUGGAACGUUUCGGCGGGUGGGGAUGGACUCGCGGCUUAUCAGCUAGUUGGUGGGGGAGUGGCUUACCAAGGCUUUGACGGAUAGCCGGCCUGUGAGCGUGACCGGCCACAUUGGUACUGAGAUACGGCCCAGACUCCUACGGGAGGCAGCAGUGGGAAAUAUUGCCCAAUGGGCCGAAGCCUGAGGCAGCAACGCCCCGUGCGGGAUGCCGGCCUUCGGGUUGUGAACCGCUUUCGCCUGUGACGAAGCGUGAGUGACGGUAAUGGGUAAAGAAGCACCGGCUAACUACGUG
rnacentral:rRNA from 1 species